GUCUAUGGCCAUGCUACCCUGAACAAGCCUGAUCCCGUCUGAUCUCAGAAGCUAAGUGGGGUCGGGGGGCCUGGUUACUACUUGGAUGGGAGACUACCUAGGGGUAUUAUCACAGUGUAUG
rnacentral:rRNA from 1 species